UAUGCCCAACUAAUAUUUGGAAUUUUCCUAUACGUGGAUUCCAGAGGGGUGACAGCGAAACGUAGGACCAUCCAGUUGCAGAAAAACAAGCUUAACACGCCCACUGAUUCUACAUUAUGCCCCUACCUCCCGGCAGCCUCUCCAGGCCCAGAACUUUCUCCAGUCAGCCUCCACAGACCAAGCUCAUGACUCACAAUGGCCUAUUUAGGCCCAUACCCUACCUCACGGCAGUCUCUGCAGAUGAGGCUACUGCCUCACAACAGCCUCCACAGGCACAGCUCCACCGUUACAAUGGCCUCUUUAGACCCAGCUCCUGCCUCCCAGCCUUCUCUCCAGGCCCUGAGCUUUCUCAAGUCGACCUCACCAGGCCCAGCUCAUGCUUCUUGGCAGCCUCUCCAGGCCCAGCUCCUGCAUCUUGGCAGCCUCUCCAGGCCCAGCCUCUGCCUCCUGUCAGCCUCUACAGUCCCAACAUCUGCCUCACAGCAGAUUCUUCAGGCCCAGUAUCUGCCUCACUGUGGACCACCCAAGCCAAGCUCCCAA